rnacentral:lncRNA from 1 species
CAGCAAGGAGGCGAGGAGCGGCGGCGGCGCUGAGCCGGGCCUGGGUGUGGGGGCGCCUAUAUCCCCAGCCCAAGCUGCAGGAAGCCGCGCCGCUUCCUCGGAGGGGCUGGGACGGCGGCGGCCACGUGGGGGGCGGGGGCGACGCCCGGGGCCCGCGGCUGGAGGGGGAGUCGCUGCCUCACCCGCGCCUGGCGCCCGCGGCUCCCUCCGCCUCGCCGGCGUUGGCCCACCCUCUCGUAGCUCACCCCGCGAGGCUGGACAGCUCCCGGAACCCCGGAACCGGGAUCUAUUUCGGGGGCUCGGCCGCGUGGCGCCCAGGACUCUCCAGGGUCUCCCAGGAUCGCUCCCCGGAUUCGAGUCGCCCCCUCUCUCUUUCGGGAAUACCAGCUGAUGUCAGUCCGCCAGCCAAAACCAGGGAGGAGAAGCGGGAGCCGGCCCUCUGGAGUCGGGAGAAGGAAGAAGGUGCCACAGCUCUUCAGGACCACGGUUGGGAGAAAGAAGGGAGGGGUUUUAGAACCUUCAGUGUGCGACUUCAUGUGCCAGUCUUCAUCUCAGGAUCUCAAGCUCUUGGAUCAUGGGCACGGAUAACCUGUUGUCCUCCUCUAUGGUCAAGAGGCUGCUUUUGCAAAGAAUCCAGUGGGAGAGAGUCAAUGGCCUGCUUGACGUGAACUCCAAAGUCCUCCUGAUCAGAAUACCAAUUUCUUACUGGGUCUGGAAAGGAGGAGAGAAGGAUAGAGAGUUUCUUCUAGGACCAAAUUGAUUCCUCCACAAAUAGGAAGAUCCCCAGACUGUGUGCACACACCCUCCUCCUCCUUCCUUCUCCAACCCUGGCUGGACCAUGACAUCACAUGGUGGAGGCUGUUUUUUAAAAAGAACUCAGGCCAGAUUUACAAGAAUGAUGCUCAGGCAGCGUGACUGUCAAGGACCGUGGCCAAGUGACCCAUAGCACACACCCAGCAGUGCUGAGAACAUAGCUAGUCCCUUAGCACCUGGGGCUGACUCAUGGUUGCUGUAGGACCCAAUGCCAGAUGCCAGGAUUGCUUUCUCCCUCCAUUCAUUAGGACUGUCCCAUGAAACCCUCCCCAGGAACCCUUCUACCCCAUCCCGGCAUGCCAGGAGCCUGGAUACUGCAUAACACAGGGUACUCAUAUUUGUUUACCAAGCCUUGAAGAUGACAGGCAAUAUGCUGAUAUGCUCAAUGCAUCAUACAAAUUGUUUUAUUUAAAACUGAACUAUUAAAUUAAGUAUCAUAGCAACUCACUUUACAGACAAGGAAACUGAAGCUCAAAGGUUAAGUAAGGGCCAGGCAUGGUGGCUCACUCCUGUAAUCCCAGCAGUUUGGGAGGCUGAGGUGGGAGGAGGAUUGCUUAAGCCCGGGAGUUUGAGACCAGCCUAGGCAAUAUAGGGAGACCCCAUCUCUACAAAAAAUUAUCUGGGCCUGGUUGUGUAUGCCUGUAGUCCCAGCUACUUGAGAGGCUGAGGUGGGAGGAUUGCUUGAGCCCAGAAGUUGAGGCUGCAGUGAGCCAUGAUCAUGCCAUUGUACUCCAGCCUGGGCAGCAAAGCAAAACCCUGUAUUGAAAACAAACAAACAGGCCGGGCACGGUGGCUCACACCUGUAAUCCCAACACUUUGGGAGGCCGAGGCAGGUGGAUCACCUGAGGUCAGGAGUUAGAGACCAGCCUGGCCAACAUGGUGAAACCCGCCUCUACUGAAAAUACAAAAAUUAGCAGGGCGUUGUGGCACAUGCCAAGGUGGGCAGAUCACCUGAGGUCAGGAGUUAGAGACCAGCCUGGCCAACAUGGUGAAACCCCAUCUCUACUAAAAAUACAAAAAUUAGCUGGGCGUGGUGGUGGGCGCCUGUAGUCCCAGCUACUCAGGAGGCUGAGGCAGGAGAAUCGCUUGAACCUGGGAGGUGGAGGUUGCAGUAAGCCAAGAUAGUGUCACUGCACUCCAGCCUGGGCGACAGACAAAAAAAAAAAAAAAAAAAAAAAA